UUGAUCGCAAGGAACAAUGGUCAGCGCGUCCGAACUUGUCAAACUCCUCUUCCGUUGCCCUCCCUCCGCUGCUUGGACUUUGGAGCCGUCGAGCGAGGAAUGAACGUCGUGCAGGCCGUACGACCGAAGUUUUGAGAAUGGGAUUCUCCAAACUGAAGUCGCUCGGAUCCACCUACUGUAUGACGAAAUGGUAUCUCUUGUUAGGAAACUUUGGGGGCGUUUCAUGAAAUCCGAGUCAUACCGUUCGGCAACGGGCAGUGAGCUGCUCUUGCUGCAACCACAAUCAGAGCUCUGUGAACUGGAAGGCAAAAGUUGAAGUUGGGGAGGAUACAGAGGCCGCUAUGUCAUCGUGGGACCCAGCAGAGAAGAAAGCGUUCAGGCUGGGUGCAAGGAAUUUUUACAUCAAGUGUACCACGCACCUCCUGACGGCUGCCGAGACUACCCUUGACAAUGUCGUGCUACGAAGCCUUCCCCAAGAACACGCUGACGUCCCUCACUCAUCCUGAGGAUGUCAUUGCGGGACAGCAGUGACAUCCUGGGAAUAUCCCCACAUGAUCCUCAAUUUGUUAGAAAAGUGUUAGAAUGAGACUCAAGAGAUGGUCCUCGAGACAACAUCUGGGGACAAGACUGGGAUACUCUCAGGAGCACUAUAGGAUCAUGUAAAAUCCACCAGUAAAUCUGCUUUAAUUUCUCACUU